UAGAGACUAUUAGUGUGGGACACUUCA
rnacentral:piRNA from 2 species